rnacentral:rRNA from 1 species
CUGAGACCUGAUGCCGAGCCGAUUGUGGUGAAGUGGAUGAUCCUAUGCUGUCGAGAAAAGCCUCUAGCGAGUUUCAUGGCGGCCCGUACCCCAAACCGACUCAGGUGGUCAGGUAGAGAAUACCGAGGCGUUCGGGUGAACUAUGGUUAAGGAACUCGGCAAAAUGCCCCCGUAACUUCGGGAGAAGGGGGGCCAUUCCUGGUGACGGCACUUGCUGCCAGAGCUGGGGGUGGCCGCAGAGACCAGCGAGAAGCGACUGUUUACUAAAAACACAGGUCCGUGCGAAGCCGUAAGGCGAUGUAUACGGACUGACGCCUGCCCGGUGCUGGAACGUUAAGGGGACCGGUUAGCUCUGAUUCGUCGGGGCGAAGCUGAGAACUUAAGCGCCAGUAAACGGCGGUGGUAACUAUAACCAUCCUAAGGUAGCGAAAUUCCUUGUCGGGUAAGUUCCGACCUGCACGAAUGGCGUAACGACUUCUCGACUGUCUCAACCAUAGGCCCGGUGAAAUUGCAUUACGAGUAAAGAUGCUCGUUUCGCGCAGCAGGACGGAAAGACCCCGGGACCUUUACUAUAGCUUGAUAUUGGUGUUCGGUUCGGCUUGUGUAGGAUAGGUGGGAGACUUUGAAGCCGUGACGCCAGUCAUGGUGGAGUCGUCGUUGAAAUACCACUCUGGUCGUGCUGGAUGUCUAACCUGGGUCCGUGAUCCGGAUCAGGGACAGUGUCUGGUGGGUAGUUUAACUGGGGCGGUUGCCUCCUAAAGAGUAACGGAGGCGCCCAAAGGUUCCCUCAGCCUGGUUGGCAAUCAGGUGUUGAGUGUAAGUGCACAAGGGAGCUUGACUGUGAGACUGACGGGUCGAGCAGGGACGAAAGUCGGGACUAGUGAUCCGGCGGUGGCUUGUGGAAGCGCCGUCGCUCAACGGAUAAAAGGUACCCCGGGGAUAACAGGCUGAUCUUCCCCAAGAGUCCAUAUCGACGGGAUGGUUUGGCACCUCGAUGUCGGCUCGUCGCAUCCUGGGGCUGGAGUAGGUCCCAAGGGUUGGGCUGUUCGCCCAUUAAAGCGGUACGCGAGCUGGGUUUAGAACGUCGUGAGACAGUUCGGUCCCUAUCCGCUGUGCGCGUAGGAGUGUUGAGAAGGGCUGUCCCUAGUACGAGAGGACCGGGACGGACGAACCUCUGGUGUGCCAGUUGUCCUGCCAAGGGCAUGGCUGGUUGGCUACGUUCGGGAGGGAUAACCGCUGAAAGCAUCUAAGCGGGAAGCCUGCUUCGAGAUGAGCACUCCCACCUCCUUGAGAGGGUAAGGCUCCCAGUAGACGACUGGGUUGAUAGGCCGGAUAUGGAAGCCCUGUGAGGGGUGGAGUUGACCGGUACUAAUAGGCCGAGGGCUUGUCCU